CAGUCGAACGGUAGCACAGAGGAGCUUGCUCCUCGGGUGACGAGUGGCGGACGGGUGAGUAAUGUCUGGGAAACUGCCCGAUGGAGGGGGAUAACUACUGGAAACGGUAGCUAAUACCGCAUAACGUCGCAAGACCAAAGUGGGGGACCUUCGGGCCUCACACCAUCGGAUGUGCCCAGAUGGGAUUAGCUAGUAGGUGGGGUAACGGCUCACCUAGGCGACGAUCCCUAGCUGGUCUGAGAGGAUGACCAGCCACACUGGAACUGAGACACGGUCCAGACUCCUACGGGAGGCAGCAGUGGGGAAUAUUGCACAAUGGGCGCAAGCCUGAUGCAGCCAUGCCGCGUGUAUGAAGAAGGCCUUCGGGUUGUAAAGUACUUUCAGCGGGGAGGAAGGCGAUGCGGUUAAUAACCGCGUCGAUUGACGUUACCCGCAGAAGAAGCACCGGCUAACUCCGUGCCAGCAGCCGCGGUAAUACGGAGGGUGCAAGCGUUAAUCGGAAUUACUGGGCGUAAAGCGCACGCAGGCGGUCUGUCAAGUCGGAUGUGAAAUCCCCGGGCUUAACCUGGGAACUGCAUUCGAAACUGGCAGGCUAGAGUCUUGUAGAGGGGGGUAGAAUUCCAGGUGUAGCGGUGAAAUGCGUAGAGAUCUGGAGGAAUACCGGUGGCGAAGGCGGCCCCCUGGACAAAGACUGACGCUCAGGUGCGAAAGCGUGGGGAGCAAACAGGAUUAGAUACCCU
rnacentral:rRNA from 1 species